rnacentral:rRNA from 1 species
CCUACGGGUGGCUGCAGUGGGGAAUAUUGGGCAAUGGGCGCAAGCCUGACCCAGCAACGCCGCGUGAAGGAAGAAGGCUUUCGGGUUGUAAACUUCUUUUCUCAGGGACGAGCAGAGUGACGUUACCUGUGGAAUAGGCCCCGGCUAACUACGUGCAGGCAGCCGGGGUAAUACGUAGGUGGCAAGCGUGAUCCGGAUUUAUUGGGGGUAAAGGGCGUGUAGGCGGGAGGGCAAGUCAGAUGUGAAAACUCCGGGCUCAACCCUGAGCCUGCAUUUGAAACUGUGUUUCUUGAGUGCUGGAGAGGCAAUCGGAAUUCCGUGUGUAGCGGUGAAAUGCGUAGAUAUACGGAGGAACACCAGUGGCGAAGGCGGAUUGCUGGACAGUAACUGACGCUGAGGCGCGAAAGCGUGGGGAGCAAACAGGAUUAGAUACCCGGGUAGUC